GUGGAUUCAGGUGUUACUGGAGAAAUUUCACUCCCAGGUUUGAUUGAAACUGCAUCGCAAGCAAUCAAACAGCAGGUCCUUCCAGGGUGACCUGCUGGCAGCAUUUGUGGAGGAACACAAAAGAACAAUAUGUACUUACAACAGCAUCAGAUUCAAUAUCCAGAGACAGGCCCUUUAACAGGCUUAGUCAGGUGUGUGAGGGCGAGUGACAGCGCUAGUUGGAGCAAAUUGGGUCCACCCAAAACCCCUGACGUGAUUUGGAUGAAGCCACAGGAGCACAGAUUCCGACUCAGGAUGAGGCCAUUAACGUAAAUGAAUGACACGUCCCUGCCAUGUCAGAGGUCAAACACCCCCAUUAUAAGUGAAUUAUUUCUACAAGGGAAUGAAAAACUAAACUCUAUGUCACAAGCCUC